rnacentral:rRNA from 1 species
CCUACGGGGUGCUGCAGUGGGGAAUUUUGGACAAUGGGGGCAACCCUGAUCCAGCCAUGCCGCGUGAGUGAAGAAGGCCUUCGGGUUGUAAAGCUCUUUCGGCCGGGAAGAAAUCGCUCAAGCUAAUACCUUGGGUGGAUGACGGUACCGGAAGAAGAAGCACCGGCUAACUACGUGCCAGCAGCCGCGGUAAUACGUAGGGUGCGAGCGUUAAUCGGAAGUACUGGGCGUAAAGCGUGCGCAGGCGGUGAACUCCCCGGGCUUAACCUGGGAACUGCGUUUGUGACUGUGGUGCUCGAGUGCGGCAGAGGGGGGUGGAAUUCCACGUGUAGCAGUGAAAUGCGUAGAGAUGUGGAGGAACACCGAUGGCGAAGGCGGCCACCUGGACAGUAACUGACGCUGAGGCGCGAAAGUGUGGGUAGCAAACAGGAUUAGAUACCCGAGUAGUC